AUACCUUUCUCGGCCUUUUGUUUAAGAUCAAGUGUAGCAUCUUUUCUUAUCAGUUUAAUAUCUGAUACGUGGGCCAUCGGCCCACAUGAUGUUAAACUAUUUUUUCUUGGGGGAAGGCCCACUAAAGUAGCUUGCUACUAGGGAUGGCAAUUUUUCCCGAUGGGGAAAUUUUCA
rnacentral:snRNA from 1 species